CCUACGGGGUGCAGCAGUAGGGAAUUUUCGGCAAUGGGGGGAACCCUGACCGAGCAACGCCGCGUGAACGAAGAAGUUAUUCGUAAUGUAAAGUUCUUUUAACAGGGAAGAAAGAGAAAUUUGACGGUACCUGAAGAAUAAGCUCCGGCUAACUACGUGCCAGCAGCCGCGGUAAUACGUAGGGAGCGAGCGUUAUCCGGAAUUAUUGGGCGUAAGGGUGCGUAGAUGGCAAAGUAAGUCUUUUGUAAAAAUGCUGGGCUCAACCCAGUAGGGCAAAAGAUACUGCAAAGCUAGAGUAUGACAGAGGCAAGUGGAACUACAUGUGUAGCGGUAAAAUGCGUAAAUAUAUGUAAGAACACCAGUGGCGAAGGCGGCUUGCUGGGUCGAUACUGACAUUGAGGCACGAAAGCGUGGGGAGCAAACAGGAUUAGAUACCCUUGUAGUC
rnacentral:rRNA from 1 species